rnacentral:rRNA from 1 species
GACGAACCGUGCUAACGUUGUUCGGAAUCACUGGGCUUAAAGGGCGCGUAGGCGGGCACGUAAGUCUGGCGUGAAAUUUUUCGGCUUAACCGGGAAAGGUCGUCGGAUACUGCGGGACUAGAGGACGGUAGAGGCGUGUGGAAUUCCGGGUGUAGUGGUGAAAUGCGUAGAGAUCCGGAGGAACACCAGUGGCGAAGGCGACACGCUGGGCCGUACCUGACACUGAUGCGCGACAGCAUGGGGAGCAAACAGG